rnacentral:rRNA from 1 species
GAUGAACGCUGGCGGCGUGCCUAAUACAUGCAAGUCGAGCGAAUGGAUUAAGAGCUUGCUCUUAUGAAGUUAGCGGCGGACGGGUGAGUAACACGUGGGUAACCUGCCCAUAAGACUGGGAUAACUCCGGGAAACCGGGGCUAAUACCGGAUAACAUUUUGAACCGCAUGGUUCGAAAUUGAACGGCGGCUUCGGCUGUCACCUAUGGAUGGACCCGCGUCGCAUUAGCUAGUUGGUGAGGUAACGGCUCACCAAGGCAACGAUGCGUAGCCGACCUGAGAGGGUGAUCGGCCACACUGGGACUGAGACACGGCCCAGACUCCUACGGGAGGCAGCAGUAGGGAAUCUUCCGCAAUGGACGAAAGUCUGACGGAGCAACGCCGCGUGAGUGAUGAAGGCUUUCGGGUCGUAAAACUCUGUUGUUAGGGAAGAACAAGUGCUAGUUGAGUAAGCUGGCACCUUGACGGUACCUAACCAGAAAGCCACGGCUAACUACGUGCCAGCAGCCGCGGUAA